rnacentral:rRNA from 1 species
GUCGAGCGAAGCACUUUUUUAGAACUCUUCGGAGGGAAGAGAGGGUGACUUAGCGGCGGACGGGUGAGUAACGCGUGGGCAACCUGCCUUACACAGGGGGAUAACAAUUAGAAAUGAUUGCUAAUACCGCAUAAGACCACAGCAUUGCAUGAUGCAGUGGUAAAAACUGAGGUGGUGUAAGAUGGGCCCGCGUCUGAUUAGGUAGUUGGUGGGGUAGAAGCCUACCAAGCCGACGAUCAGUAGCCGACCUGAGAGGGCGACCGGCCACAUUGGGACUGAGACACGGCCCAAACUCCUACGGGAGGCAGCAGUGGGGAAUAUUGCACAAUGGGGGAAACCCUGAUGCAGCGACGCCGCGUGAGUGAGGAAGUAUUUCGGUAUGUAAAGCUCUAUCAGCAGGGAAGAAAAUGACGGUACCUGACUAAGAAGCCCCGGCUAACUACGUGCCAGCAGCCGCGGUAAUACGUAGGGGGCAGGCGUUAUCCGGAUUUACUGGGUGUAAAGGGAGCGUAGACGGAAUUGCAAGUCUGAUGUGAAAAUCCGGGGCCCAACCCCGGAACUGCAUUGGAAACUGUAUUUCUAGAGUGUCGGAGAGGCAAGUGGAAUUCCUGGUGUAGCGGUGAAAUGCGUAGAUAUCAGGAGGAACACCAGUGGCGAAGGCGGCUUGCUGGACGAUGACUGACGUUGAGGCUCGAAAGCGUGGGGAGCAAACAGGAUUAG